GCCUCCAUAGCUCAGGGGAAAGAGCAGCACUCUUCUAAAGUGAUUGUCCUAGGUUCAAAUCCUAGUGGAGGCG
rnacentral:tRNA from 9 species